rnacentral:rRNA from 1 species
GACGAACGCUGGCGGCGUGCCUAAUACAUGCAAGUAGGACGAAGUUGCGAACGGGUGGGUAACGCGUAGGUAACUACCUAUUAGAGGGGGAUAACUAUUGGAAACGAUAGCGAAUACCGCAUACUAGUAGAUGGACCUGCGUUGUAUUAGCUAGUAGGUAGGGUAAUGGCGUACCUAGGCAACGAUACAUAGCCGACGUUGAAGGGUGAGCGGCUAGAACGGGAAUGAGACAAGGCCCAGAAUCACACGGGAGGCAACAGUGGGGAAGUUUCGGAAAUGGGGGGAAACCUGACCGAGCAACGCCGCGGGAGUGAUGAAGGUUUUUGGAUCUUUAAGAUCUGUUGUUAAGGAAGCGGUACUUAACCAGAAAGGGACGGCUAACUACGUGCCAGCAGCCGCGGUAAUAC